GUUAAUAUAGUUUUAAAACAAACAUUAGACUGUGGCUCUAAAAAUAGGAGUUU
rnacentral:tRNA from 1 species